GCUUCCCUGGCUCAGUUGGUUAGAGCGCCAGUCUCAUAGUGAUGUGAGGGAUUGUGCAAUCUCGUAAUCUGGAGGUCAUGAGUUCGACCCUCAUGGGGAGCA